rnacentral:rRNA from 1 species
AACGCGAAGAACCUUACCUACCCUUGACAUGGUCGGAACCCUGCUGAAAGGUGGGGGUGCUCGAAAGAGAACCGGCGCACAGGUGCUGCAUGGCUGUCGUCAGCUCGUGUCGUGAGAUGUUGGGUUAAGUCCCGCAACGAGCGCAACCCUUGUCCUUAGUUGCUACGCAAGAGCACUCUAGGGAGACUGCCGGUGACAAACCGGAGGAAGGUGGGGAUGACGUCAAGUCCUCAUGGCCCUUAUGGGUAGGGCUUCACACGUCAUACAAUGGUCGGAACAGAGGGUUGCCAAGCCGCGAGGCGGAGCCAAUCCCAGAAAACCGAUCGUAGUCCGGAUCGCAGUCUGCAACUCGACUGCGUGAAGCUGGAAUCGCUAGUAAUCGCGGAUCAGCAUGCCGCAGUGAAAUACGUUCCC